rnacentral:rRNA from 1 species
GACGAACGCUGGCGGCGUGCUUAACACAUGCAAGUCGAGCGGAAAGGCCCUUCGGGGUACUCGAGCGGCGAACGGGUGAGUAACACGUGAGUAACCUGCCCCAGACUUUGGGAUAACCCUCGGAAACGGGGGCUAAUACCGGAUACGACACAGCUUCGCAUGGGGUCUGUGUGGAAAGUUUUUCGGUUUGGGAUGGGCUCGCGGCCUAUCAGCUUGUUGGUGGGGUGAUGGCCUACCAAGGCGACGACGGGUAGCCGGCCUGAGAGGGCGACCGGCCACACUGGGACUGAGACAAGGCCCAGACUCCUACGGGAGGCAGCAGUGGGGAAUAUUGCACAAUGGGCGGAAGCCUGAUGCAGCGACGCCGCGUGAGGGAUGACGGCCUUCGGGUUGUAAACCUCUUUCAGCAGGGACGAAGCGUAAGUGACGGUACCUGCAGAAGAAGCGCCGGCCAACUACGUG